rnacentral:rRNA from 1 species
AACGAACGCUGGCGGCAGGCCUAACACAUGCAAGUCGUACGAGAAGGUAGCUUCGGUUACUGGAGAGUGGCGCACGGGUGAGUAACGCGUGGGGACCUACCUCUUAGUGGGGGGGGAUAACGGUUGGAAAACGACCGCUAAUACCGCAUACGCCCCUUCGGGGGAAAGAUUUAUCGCUAAGAGAUGGACCCGCGUUGGAUUAGCUAGUUGGCGAGGUAACGGCUCACCAAGGCAUCGAUCCAUAGCUGGUUUGAGAGGAUGAUCAGCCACACUGGGACUGAGACACGGCCCAGACUCCUACGGGAGGCAGCAGUGGGGAAUAUCGGACAAUGGGGGCAACCCUGAUCCAGCCAUGCCGCGUGAGUGAAGAAGGCCUUCGGGUUGUAAAGCUCUUUCAGAUGCGAAGAUGAUGACGGUAACAUCAGAAGAAGCCCCGGCUAAUUUCGUG